ensembl:miRNA
GACCCUGACCCUGACCCUGGCCCUGAUCCUGGCCUUGACCCUGAUCCUGGCCCUGGCCCUGGCCCUGGCCUUGACC